ACCAGACUCCUACGGGAGGCAGCAGUGGGGGAUAUUGCACAAUGGGGGGAACCCUGAUGCAGCGACGCCGCGUGGGUGAAGGAGCGUUUCGGCGCGUAAAGCCCUCUCGGCAGGGAAGAAGGAGGACGGUACCUGACUAAGAAGCCCCGGCUAACUACGUGCCAGCAGCCGCGGUAAUACGUAGGGGGCAAGCGUUAUCCGGAUUUACUGGGUGUAAAGGGGGCGCAGACGGCAGCGCAAGCCAGGAGUGAAAGCCCGGGGCCCAACCCCGGGACUGCAUUGGGAACUACCGGGCUGGAGUGCCGGAGAGGUAGGCGGAAUUCCUAGUGUAGCGGUGAAAUGCGUAGAUAUUAGGAGGAACACCAGUGGCGAAGGCGGCCUACUGGACGGUGACUGACGCUGAGGCUCGAAAGCGUGGGGAGCAAACAGGAUUAGAUACCCCGGUA
rnacentral:rRNA from 1 species